rnacentral:rRNA from 1 species
UCGGGAAUAAUUCGCAAUGGGCGCAAGCCUGACGAUGCGACGCCGCGUGAGUGAUGAAGGUCUUAGGAUUGUAAAACUCUUUCGUGCAGGAAUAAGAGAGUGUGUUUAAUAGACAUGCGAUCAGAAGGUACUGUAAAAAGAAGCACCGGCUAACUCUGUGCCAGCAGCUGCGGUAAUACAGAGGGUGCAAGCGUUAAUCGGAUUUAUUGGGCGUAUAGGGCGUCUAGGUGGCCAUGAAAGUCUGACGUGAAAUCCCGGGGCUUAUCCUCGGAACUGCGUUGGAAACUUUAUGGCUUGAGGGCAGUCGGAGAAAACGGAAUUCCAUGUGUAGCGGUGAAAUGCAUAGAUAUAUGGAAGAACACCCGUGGCGAAAGCGGUUUUCUAGAUUGUUCCUGACACU